rnacentral:rRNA from 1 species
UGGUCAAGCUACAAAGAGUCUAUGCACGGAUGACUUGGUUAGGUGAGGCGAUGAAGGACGGGAUAAGCACCGAUAUGUCCCGGGGAGCCGCAAAUAGGCUUUGAUCCGGGAAAUUCCGAAUGAGGCAACUCAGCGCAGGUUAUACUGCGUUAUUCCCACGAUGAAUUCAUAGUUGUGGGGAAGCGAUACCGGGAGAACUGAAACAUCUAAGUACCCUGAGGAAAAGAAAUCACAGAGAUUCCCUUAGUAGUGGCGAGCGAAGAGGGAAAAGUCUAAACUCCGCCAAAGUAAUUUGGCGGAGGGUUGCGGGACCUCGAUGUGGGAUUGUUUUGGGAUAAUAGAAGUAUCUGGAAAGAUGCGCCAUAGAGAGUGAAAGCCUCGUAUAUGAAAUCCUUAAAACACCCUAGAGGUAUCCCAAGUAACACGGGACACGGGAAAUCCUGUGUGAAUCUGGGCCGACCACGGUCUAAGACUAAAAACUACACCUAAACCGAUAGUGUACAAGUACCGUGAGGGAAAGUUGAAAAGAACGCUGGUGAAGCGAGUGAAAUAGAACCUAAAAUCAUAGACUUACAAGCGGUGGGAGGGCUAUGCUAUCUGCGCAAGCGGAUAGAAUGCCUGACCGCGUACCUUUUGCAUAAUGGUCCGACGAGUUACUGUGCGGUGCAAGCUUAAUCCCCUACGGGGAGCAGGCGUAGCGAAAGCGAGUCCUAAUUGGGCGAUCAUAAGUACCGUAUAGUAGACCCGAAGCUGAGUGAUCUACCCAUGGUUAGCGCGAAGCUCUCCGAAAGGAGAGCGGAGGUGCGAACCCGUCAGUGUUGAAAAACUGUGGGAUAAACUGUGGGUUGGAGCGAAAGACUAAACAAACUCAGAAAUUGCUGGUUCUCCCCGAAAUAUUUCUAGGGAUAGCCUCGGAUAAAUUGAAUAGUAGGGGUAGAGUGCUGAAUGGGUUACAGAUCCAUACUAGGAUGCUGGGCCCAACCAAACUCCGAAUACUACUAUUUUUACUCCGGGAGUAAGACAAUGGGGGCUAAGCUCCAUUGUCAAAAGGGUAACAGCCCAGACUGUCAGCUAAGGUCCCUAAGGAUAGGCUAAGUGGUAAAGGAUGUGGACUCACUAAAACAACCAGGAUGUUGGCUCAGAGGCAGCCAUCAUUUAAAGAGUGCGUAACAGCUCACUGGUCGAGUGAUUUCGCGCCAAAGAUGAACGGGGCUUAAGCCUAUCCCGACGUUCCGACUGAGCGAAAGCGAGCGUCGGAAGUCGGGAUCUCGACCGAGCGCAAGCGAGCGUCGGGAUUACCGAAGCUGCAGGUUUUUUUGUCGCAAGACAAGAAAGCGGUAGGGGAGCAUUGUCUAGUUGGUUGAAGCUGUACCGUAAGGAGCAGUGGACACUAGACAAGGGAUUAUGUCGGAAUAAGUAGCGAAAAUGCCUGCGAGAAACAGGCACACCGAAAGUCUAAGGUUUCCUGGGGAAGGUUAAUCCGCCCAGGGUUAGUCGAGCCUAAGCUGAGGCCGUAUGGCGUAAGCGAUGGAUAGUCCGUUAAUAUUCGGACACUAGUUAUGUGGCGUUAUGACUCUUGCGUGACGCAGAGGGCAUGGAGCUGCGCAGUGUUGGAUGCCUGCGUUAUUUUCUGAGCAAUCAGGAGAUGGGACCCUGAGGUUUCCGAGGGGGAAGUGAAUCACUGCCGCACUGCCAAGAAAAGCGUGGAGGGGAGUUGUAUAACUACUCGUACCGGAAUCCGACACAGGUAGACCACCAGAAUAUGGUAAGGUGCUCGAGAUAACUCUCGUUAAGGAACUCGGCAAACUAGCCCCGUACGUUAGCAAUAAGGGGUGCCUUGGGCUCGCGAGGGCUUCAAGGUUUCAAUAAAGUGGAUUGGGUGACUGUUUAGCAAAAACACAACUCUAUGCAAACUCGAAAGAGGAAGUAUAUGGAGUGACACCUGCCCGGUGCUAGAAGGUUAAGGGGAUUUGUCAGCGAGUCGUAAGAUUUGCGAAGCUUUGAACCGAAGCCCCAGUAAACGGCGGCCGUAACUAUUGUUUGGACCACAGUAGUUGUAAAAUCUGGCUAUAUGCUGGAAAAUCCUGUUAAGCUAAUAGUACAUUCCGGCUUGUUCGGAAUUGUGACAAUCUAUUAGAUAGGGACUAUCAGCAGGAAAGACCCGAAAGGAGGUCUCCAUGAAAGCAGAAAUCGGCUAUUAUUUAGCUGGUUUUGCUGACGGCGAAGGAAGUUUUAAUCUUUCCUUCAGGCCGCGGCAAGAUUAUAAGUUACCGUGGAAAGUUUCCCUCUGUUUCAAUAUUUCCCAAAAAGACAAAGUUAUACUUGCAUUAUACAAACGCUAUUUAGGCUGUGGAACUUUAAGGGGUAGGCCUGAUGGAGUUUGGUAUUACGAAGUAAAUAACUUUAAUGCGAUUUGGGAUAAUGUGAUACCAUUCUUCAAAAGAUAUGGUUUUCUUUCUGCAAAGAAGAAGCGCGAUUUCGCAAAGUUCUGCGAGAUUGCAGAAAUAAUAAAGAAAGGAGAACAUAUCAGAGAAGACGGGAUCAAAAAAAUUAUUGAGAUAAGAAGAGAAAUGAAUGACGGUGGAAAGCGAAAAUAUAGCGAAAAGGAGAUUUUAAGUAAGUUUCAGGAAUCCUCAGAGACUAUACGCCAGACCCUUGACAUCAUUGAUGUCAAGGGAUGAUAUAGUCCGGUCUUCCGAGAAAUCGGAAGUUAACAUAGACGAACGGUCCUAAGGUUUUGAUGGAAUUUCAAAGCCCUUUAUGCUGGUAACGGCAUAUCGAAUCUAACUGUAUCGGUGGAGCCCUUUGGUUGUUUGAUAAAGGGUAAUACCGAGGGAAGUCGUAAAUGACCCCGUAGAGACUACACGUUGGCCCCUUGACAUAAAGUGUCAAGGGUGAAGAUAUAGUCCAUACCAAUAGUAAUAUUGGACAAAUAUAAGCGAAAUUCCUUGUGGGGUAAGUUCCCACGCGCACGAAUGGUGUAACAACCUGAUCGCUGUCUCAACGAGAGGCUCGGCGAAAUUGUAGUGGCGGUGAAGAUGCCGUCUACCCGCAUCAAGACGAAAAGACCCCAGAACCUUUACUGCAACCUGCUAUUGAAAUUUGGUUCACUAUGUGUAGUAUAGGUGGGAGGCUUUGAAGCCUAGGCGCUAGCUUGGGCAGAGCCGCAAUGUGAAAUACCACCCUUAUUGCAUUAAGUUUCUAACUUCUUGCCGUGAAUCCGGCGGGAGGACAGUGACAGGUGGGCAGUUUGACUGGGGCGGUUCCCUUCUAAAAAGUAACGAAGGGGCCCCAAGGUUGGCUCAGGGC